GAUGAAGAACGCAGCGAAAUGCGAUAAGUAAUGUGAAUUGCAGAAUCCAGUGAAUCAUCGAAUCUUUGAACGCACAUUGCGCCCGCCAGCAUUCUGGCGGGCAUGCCUGUUCGAGCGUCAUUUCAACCCUCGACCUCCCUUUGGGGAAGUCGGCGUUGGGGACCGGCAGCACACCGCCGGCCCUGAAAUGGAGUGGCGGCCCGUCCGCGGCGACCUCUGCGUAGUAAAACAACUCGCACCGGAACCCCGACGUGGCCACGCCGUAAAACACCCAACUUCUGAACGUUGACCUCGAAUCAGGUAGGACUACCCGCUGAACUUAAGCAUAUCAAUAAGCGGAGGA
rnacentral:misc_RNA from 1 species